rnacentral:rRNA from 1 species
CACGUAGGGUGCGAGCGUUGUCCGGAAUUAUUGGGCGUAAAGAGCUCGUAGGCGGUGUGUCGCGUCGGCCGUGAAAACCUGCAGCUUAACUGUGGGCUUGCGGUCGAUACGGGCAUCACUGGAGUUCGGCAGGGGAGACUGGAAUUCCGGUGGAGCGGUGAAAUGCGUAGAGAUCGGAAAAGAACACCAAAUGGCGAAAGCAACUCUGCUGGGCCGACACUGACACUGAGAGACGAAAGCUAGGGGGAGCAAACGGG